CUCGCGGCCUAUCAGCUUGUUGGUGGGGUAGUGGCCUACCAAGGCGACGACGGGUAGCCGGCCUGAGAGGGUGACCGGCCACACUGGGACUGAGACACGGCCCAGACUCCUACGGGAGGCAGCAGUGGGGAAUAUUGCGCAAUGGGCGGAAGCCUGACGCAGCGACGCCGCGUGGGGGAUGACGGCCUUCGGGUUGUAAACCUCUUUCAGCAGGGACGAAGCGGAAGUGACGGUACCUGCAGAAGAAGCACCGGCCAACUACGUGCCAGCAGCCGCGGUAAUACGUAGGGUGCAAGCGUUGUCCGGAAUUAUUGGGCGUAAAGAGCUCGUAGGCGGUUUGUUGCGUCGGCUGUGAAAUCCCGAGGCUCAACCUCGGGUCUGCAGUCGAUACGAGCAAACUAGAGUGUUGCAGGGGAGACUGGAAUUCCUGGUGUAGCGGUGAAAUGCGCAGAUAUCAGGAGGAACACCGGUGGCGAAGGCGGGUCUCUGGGCAACAACUGACGCUGAGGAGCGAAAGCGUGGGGAGCGAACAGGAUUAGAUACCCUGGUAGUCCACGCCGUAAACGUUGGGCGCUAGGUGUGGGGCUCAUUCCACGAGUUCCGUGCCGCAGCUAACGCAUUAAGCGCCCCGCCUGGGGAGUACGGAAGCUUGGAAUUCGCC
rnacentral:rRNA from 1 species